GACGAACGCUGACGGCGUGCUUAACACAUGCAAGUCGAAGGGAGUGGCGAACGGGUGAGUAACACGUGAGUAACCUGCCCUUUUCUUUGGGAUAAGCCUGGGAAACUGGGUCUAAUACUGGAUGGAUUGGGAUGGGCUCGCGGCUUUGCAGCUUGGUGGUGGGGUGUUGGCUUACCAAGGCUUUGACGGGUCGCCGGCCUGAGCGGGUGGUCGGUAACACUGGUACUGAGAUACGGCCCAGACUCCUACGGGAGGGAGCAGUGGGGGAUAUUGCACAAUGGGCGAAAGUCUGAUGCAGCGACGUCGUGUGGGGGAUGAAGGCCUUCGGGUUGUAAACUCCUUUAGCCAGGGGAACGGUAGUGGGUAAAGAAGCGCCGGCUAACUACGUGCCAGCAGCCGCGGUAAUUC
rnacentral:rRNA from 1 species